AUUGAACGCUGGCGGCAGGCCUAACACAUGCAAGUCGAGCGGAUUAAGGGAGCUUGCUCCUGGAUUCAGCAACGGACGGGUGAGUAAUUCCUAACAAACUGCCUGGUCGUGGGGGAUAACGUCCGGAAACGGGCGCUAAUACCUCAUACGUCCUGUGGGAGAAACUGGGGGAUCUUCGGACCUCACGCUACCAGAUGAGCCUAGGUCGGAUUAGCUAGUUGGUGGGGUAAAGGCCUACCAAGGCGACGGUCCGUAACUGGUCUGAGAGGAUGAUCAGUCACAGUGGAACUGAGACACGGUCCAGACUCCUACGGGAGGGAGCAGCGGGGAAUAUUGGAGAAGGGGCGAAGGCCUGAUCACGCCAUGCCGCGUGUGUGAAGAAGGUCUUCGGAUUGUAAAACAAUUUAAGUUGGGAGGAAGGGCAGUAAGUUAAUAACUUGCUGUUUUGACAUUACCAAAAGAAUAAGCCCCGGCUAACUUCGUG
rnacentral:rRNA from 1 species